CUUUCUUUGUGAGUUCUACUGACCAUCAUAGGGAUAGAACGAACAUUGACCAUGACUAGCUUGUGGACGGCUUUAACUCUUAUUGUCCUGUCUCUUAUUCAAGUUCAUGCUGUACCAGGUACUUCCUGUACGACGUCUGCUCAAUGCUCAGUGGGAGAAUGCUGUGCAACAGACUCAAUGAUUGUCAGCAAGAGAAAAGCUGUUGCUCC
rnacentral:sRNA from 1 species